GGGGUUAUAGCUCAGUAGUAGAGCACUCACCUAGCAUGUGUGAGGCACUGGGUUCAAUCCUCAGCACCA
rnacentral:tRNA from 1 species